GUGGGGAAUAUUGGACAAUGGGCGCAAGCCUGAUCCAGCCAUGCCGCGUGAGUGAUGAAGGCCCUAGGGUUGUAAAGCUCUUUCACCGGUGAAGAUAAUGACGGUAACCGGAGAAGAAGCCCCGGCUAACUUCGUGCCAGCAGCCGCGGUAAUACGAAGGGGGCUAGCGUUGUUCGGAAUUACUGGGCGUAAAGCGCACGUAGGCGGACAUUUAAGUCAGGGGUGAAAUCCCAGAGCUCAACUCUGGAACUGCCUUUGAUACUGGGUGUCUUGAGUAUGGAAGAGGUAAGUGGAAUUCCGAGUGUAGAGGUGAAAUUCGUAGAUAUUCGGAGGAACACCAGUGGCGAAGGCGGCUUACUGGUCCAUUACUGACGCUGAGGUGCGAAAGCGUGGGGAGCAAACAGGAUUAGAAACCCGGGUAGUCC
rnacentral:rRNA from 1 species